GCUAAACGCGAAGAACCUUACCAAGGCUUGACAUAUACCGUUUAUCCCUAGAGAUAGGGAGUCCUUCGGGGCGGUAUACAGGUGGUGCAUGGUUGUCGUCAGCUCGUGUCGUGAGAUGUUGGGUUAAGUCCCGCAACGAGCGCAACCCUCGUUCUAUGUUGCCAGCGCGUAAUGGCGGGGACUCAUAGGAGACUGCCGGGGUCAACUCGGAGGAAGGUGGGGAUGACGUCAAAUCAUCAUGCCCCUUAUGUCUUGGGCUUCACGCAUGCUACAAUGGCCGGUACAAAGGGCUGCAAUACCGCAAGUGGAGCGAAUCCCAAAAAGCCGGUCUCAGUUCGGAUUGAGGUCUGCAACUCGACCUCAUGAAGUCGGAGUCGCUAGUAAUCGCAGAUCAGCAACGCUGCGGUGAAUA
rnacentral:rRNA from 1 species